UCAGUAGGUUGUAGAUAUGUAUUUUAGUUCCCUGUAAUAGGUUGUAUGAGUGCUCAUUAAGCAGGUUUUGUCAUGGUUUAUAGGUGAAUCUGGGCGGGUUAGAAUCCAACACCACGAAAAAUUUGCAAUCCAGAUCUGGGCUUGUUGUGCCAUAGGAUCUUUUACCCGAGAGAGUGUAAGGCCCUUCCUGUCUGAAGAACAGCACUUACAGCAGUGUAGUACUCUUUCAGCACCGGUGUGUCAGUCUUGACUUCUGUGUUCAAGCCCUGCAAAAGAUACUGUACAGUGACAUAUCCUCUACCACAGACAAGUGAGGAGUGGUAGCUGGUGAACUCAAAACAAUCCUUACCCAAUACUACAUAACUAUUAAAGGUGACAAAUACCACAAGGUACCAGAGUGGUCAUCUGAGAGAAUACCUAAUGAAUGACUAUAUGUGAAGGAUAUGAUGUUCCUGUCAAGAUUUAGUUCCCUUCCCUAAUUGCUGUUGAAAAGCUGUUGGUGAAUUAUUUUCUUAAUGACUGACUCACUGUUAUUUUGUUAAAAGUCAACCACAUUACUGGAAUCACACAUCAAACCAGGUUAAGGCAGCAAUCCUUUUCCUAAAAGGAGUUAGUAAAUCAUAAGUUUUAAUGCUUGCUAUUGCUGAUGUUUGCUUUGUAAUUUAAGUUUCGCAUAUGUCAAGAUCAAAUUUGAACUCGUGCCAUUAUGAAUCUACAGGUGUUCUAGAUUAUUGGUUAUGUACAAUAAGCAUUAUACCACUGUACCCUCUUCAAGUCAGCAGUAAAGAAACAAAUUCCAAAUAGUGGAAUUUUUCUGAAUUUUUAAUGUUUCUUCCUUUAAUCA